rnacentral:rRNA from 1 species
GAUAGCUGGCAUGAACUACUUGCAACAGUUAAAACUUUCACACCUGGUGUUAGUGCUAACUUGCCCAGAUGGAGGUUAGAAUCCUCUGGAAUAUAUAUUGUUAAGUCCUUUUAUGAACUAAUUACUGUUGGGGGUUAUUCUGAAAUUCAAGAUGCUAUUUGGAAGAUUAAAGUUCCACCCAAUAUCCAUGUGUUCCUCUGGUUAGCCUACUACAACAAAUGCCUUGCUAGGGAUAACCUAGCCAAAAGAAGGCAUGUAGAAUAUCCCACAUGUGUGUUUUGUGGUGAAAAUGAAACUAUCAACCAUCUCUUUUUUGACUGUGUAGUGGCUAUUCAGAUCUGGUCUGUGAUUGCUGAGGGGAUUUCUAUUCCUAUACCUGAUUCAUUCUUGUCUCUGAUUCAUUUUUGGAAACAAAAGAAAAAAAAUGAAGAUGUUAACCUUGUUACUUCUGCUACCUUGUGGGGCUUAUGGCUUCUGCACAAUGAACUUGUCUUUCGGGGGCGAAGAUGGCGAAGUACUCACUGCAUCAUGGGCCUGGUUGGGGGUUUAAUAAGGCAGUGGAAGAUCCUAUGUUCGGACAUCCAGGGUGUGCUACUUCUCCAGUGCUUAACACUUUUGGAUCGUCGAAGAGAGGAAUUGCUUAGAAUUGCCUGGUGUGAGAACUGGAAAACCAAAGACUGA